rnacentral:rRNA from 1 species
AAGCGCUUGCAACCAGACUUGAGCGCGGCGGUUCCCCCGGUCUUUUGGCCGGGCUACUCCGUCGUGUCCAGGCCAACAUCGGUUCUGAGGGUCGGUCAAAGGCCUUGGGAAUGUAUCUACCUACGGGUAGACUUAUAG